UCUCCCACCCCACCACGCCCCCACUUGUCCACUGAGCCCCCAGCUCUCUCAUCCACAGCUGGACGCAGGGACCCAGCCAGACGCUCCAAGAGGUCCCUAGAGGAAGGCAGCAUCUCAAGGCAGAGUCAGGCCCUGGGGAGAAACACGCUUUUACCAUCCAGGGCCAUGGAGCUCCCGGCUGUGAGUGAAACAGCACCUGGCCCUGGUGCACGCACGUGGGGCACGCAGAAACCCACACACAGGGAAUUCACCGAAUUCUCACCCACGCGGUGGGCUGGGCCCUGCUCACCCCAGGUAAAAAACACAUGACCUGAGCUGACAGGGGAGUGUAGUGUGGGCUCCACCUGAGGAGGAGGCGCAAAGGUUUCAGCAAUUCAGAGAGGUGGGUGUGCCUGGAAAUGCACUGGGAACAACCUCACCCCGAAUCAGAGGAACUUCCCCGUUACCAGCCUGGGCCACAGCUCCACACCCGGGCCCUCUGCCGUUUGCCAACUGUAAGUGGCCUCUGCCCACCUGAGCAGUUCAUGAGAAACAGGAAAACCAUUUCCAGAAACCAGUUUAGAGUCAAACAGUUACCUGAGUUCAGCAUUUCAAGAAGUUGGCCCUUCUAUGUCACACAUUAUUAUUUUGUAUUUAUUUAUGAAAGCAAUGCGUGCUAACCCUACAAAACUGGAAGAGGCAUUGAGGGAAAGGAAGAAACUGAAGACCAUGGCCACAGGCCUUCCGGGACUUUCCUGCGUGUUCGUGUCUACUCAGGGCUGACGUCGCACAGUUCUGCAUCCUUCAUUGUCACGUGGUAUUUUCUUAAGACAAUUCCAUGUCAUAAAAGUG
rnacentral:lncRNA from 1 species